AAGUCGUAACAAGGUUUCCGUAGGUGAACCUGCGGAAGGAUCAUUAUCGAGUUUUGAACGGGUUGUCUGCUGGCUCGCGAGAGCAUGUGCACGCCUGUCUCAUCCACUCUCAACUUCUGUGCACUUUUCAUAGGCCGGCUUGUGGGUGCGUUCGCGCACUUGUAGGUGUCGGGCUUAUGCUUUAUUACAAACGAUUCAGUUUUUAGAAUGUCAUACUUUGCUAUAACGCAAUUUAUAUACAA
rnacentral:misc_RNA from 1 species